rnacentral:rRNA from 1 species
UACGUAGGGUGCAAGCGUUGUCCGGAAUUUAUUGGGCGUAAAGAGCUCGUAGGCGGUCUGUCGCGUCUGCUGUGAAAACUCAGGGCUUAACCCUGAGCUUGCAGUGGGUACGGGCAGACUAGAGUGGCGGUAGGGGAGACUGGAAUUCCUGGUGUAGCGGUGAAAUGCGCAGAUAGUCAGGAGGGAACACCGGUGGCGGAAAGGCGG